rnacentral:rRNA from 1 species
CCUACGGGAGGCAGCAGUAAGGAAUAUUGGUCAAUGGAGGCAACUCUGAACCAGCCAUGCCGCGUGCAGGAUGAAGGCCCUCUGGGUUGUAAACUGCUUUUAUCUGGGAAGAAAUCUCCUUUUCUAAGGAAGUUGACGGUACCAGAAGAAUAAGCACCGGCUAACUCCGUGCCAGCAGCCGCGGUAAUACGGAGGGUGCAAGCGUUAUCCGGAUUUACUGGGUUUAAAGGGUGCGUAGGCGGGCUUUUAAGUCAGUGGUGAAAGCUUCGAGCUUAACUCGAAAAUUGCCAUUGAUACUAUUAGUCUUGAAUUCAGUUGAGGUCGGCGGAAUGUGUCGUGUAGAGGUGAAAUUCUUAGAUAUGACACAGAACACCAAUUGCGAAGGCAGCUGGCUAAUCUGAUAUUGACGCUGAGGCACGAAAGCGUGGGGAUCAAACAGGAUUAGAUACCCUGGUAGUCCACGCCCUAAACGAUGAUUACUCGAAGUUGGCGAUACACUGCCAGCCUCAAAGCGAAAGCAUUAAGAAUCCACCUGGGGAUACGACCGCAAGGUUGAAACUCAAAGGAAUUGACGG